AUAGUACUCCGCCCGUCUCAAAUUCUUGUCUUAUAUUUCUCUAGAUAUGAAUGUAUCUAGUUACGUUUCAGUAUUUAGAUACAUUCAUUUCUAGAAAAACUUAAGGCAAUAAUUUUAGGACAGAGGGGGUAUGAU
rnacentral:pre_miRNA from 1 species